UACGUAGGGGGCAAGCGUUGUCCGGAUUCAUUGGGCGUAAAGAGCGUGUAGGCGGCCAGGUAGGUCGGUUGUGAAAGCUGGAGGCUCAACCUUCAGAGGUCGACCGAAACCAUCUGGCUAGAGUCCGGGAGAGGAGAGUGGAAUUCCUGGUGUAGCGGUGAAAUGCGCAGAUAUCAGGAGGAACACCGAUGGCGAAGGCAGGUCUCUGGGCCACUACUGACGCUGAGAAGCGAAAGCAUGGGGAGCGAACAGG
rnacentral:rRNA from 1 species